UACGGAGGGUGCAAGCGUUAUCCGGAUUCACUGGGUUUAAAGGGUGCGUAGGCGGGCAGGUAAGUCCGUGGUGAAAUCUCUGAGCUUAACUCAGAAACUGCCAUGGAUACUAUUUGUCUUGAAUGUUGUGGAGGUAAGCGGAAUAUGUCAUGUAGCGGUGAAAUGCUUAGAUAUGACAUAGAACACCAAUUGCGAUGGCAGCUUACUACACAAAUAUUGACGCUGAGGCACGAAAGCGUGGGGAUCAAACAGG
rnacentral:rRNA from 1 species